rnacentral:lncRNA from 1 species
CACCACCAAUUUGGAUCUGAGAUCAGACAUAACCUUGCCAUAAGCAGCAAAGGGCUUGGUGAACCCUCAGAAAGGCUGUCAAACACCCAGAGGCCUUGGGGGUCAGGAACGAGCUAUCAUGUGGUCUUUCAUAAAAAACUGGUUCACCCACACCAAGCCUACACAUUUCAGCCCAUGACGGUGGAGAAAAAGAAAUUGAUGACAGAUUCUAUCAUCACAAAAGG